AUACGUAGGGAGCAAGCGUUGUCCGGAAUUACUGGGCGUAAAGGGCGCGUAGGCGGGUAUUUAAGUCAGGUGUGAAAACUCCGAGCUCAACUUGGAGAUUGCACUUGAAACUGGGUAUCUUGAGGGCAGGAGAGGAAAGUGGAAUUCCUAGUGUAGCGGUGAAAUGCGUAGAUAUUAGGAGGAACACCAGUGGCGAAGGCGACUUUCUGGACUGUACCUGACGCUGAGGCGCGAAAGCGUGGGUAGCGAACGGGAUUAGAUACCCCGGUAGUCCACGCUGUAAACGAUGAAUACUAGGUGUAGGAGGUAUCGACCCCUUCUGUGCCGCAGUUAACACAAUAAGUAUUCCGCCUGGGGAGUACGAUCGCAAGAUUGAAACUCAAAUGAAUUGGCGGGG
rnacentral:rRNA from 1 species